rnacentral:rRNA from 1 species
UACGUAGGGGGCAAGCGUUGUCCGGAAUCAUUGGGCGUAAAGCGCGUGUAGGCGGCUUCAUAAGUCCGUUGUGAAAGUCCAGGGCUCAACCCUGGAAUGCCGAUGGAUACUGCGGAGCUAGAGUCCGGAAGAGGCGAGUGGAAUUCCUGGUGUAGCGGUGAAAUGCGCAGAUAUCAGGAGGAACACCAAUGGCGAAGGCAGCUCGCUGGGACGGUACUGACGCUGAGACGCGAAAGCGUGGGGAGCAAACAGG